GCCCCCAGCACACAGGGAGGUGAGCAAAGCUGAGAGCCAAAGAGAGAUGAGUCCUGCUGACCUCCCGGAGUUCCAGGAAGGAAAACCUCUCCCAGCGCCCUCUGCCUCCUGAUGGAUCCGGGGGCUUCCCUGGGUGACCCUGCAUGGCAUCCAUGCCCUUUCCUUUAGGCAACAACAUCUCAGUUUUCCUUUGGACACCUUACUUAUUCUCACUACAUGGGCUGUGGGAACCUACAUGCCCCUGGAGAGGCCUGGCCCAUAAGAGCCACAAUAACUCAUUCGGAGACUUAUGAACCACGCUAGACUAAAACAAGUCAGCCCUGAGACAUUGGCUGGACCCAUGGAGAAGUUCCCAAGUCCUAGAAAGGAAGCAUAGAGCUGCUGGUGGCCAUUUGUAUCUCCACCUGCAGAGAUCCCACUUAAACUGACAUCAACUCAGGAAGGAAAAGGAGUGAGAGGUAGAGAAAUCCGUAUUCCUGAAACUGUAUAAACAUCUGAACUCAGCUGUAUCUAAAUUCUGUCCCUGGGAUUCUCUGUUCAGUAAAUAAAUGAAUUUGUGUUUUGU